rnacentral:rRNA from 1 species
GACGAACGCUGGCGGCGUGCUUAACACAUGCAAGUCGAACGGAAAGGCCCUGCUUUUGUGGGGUGCUCGAGUGGCGAACGGGUGAGUAACACGUGAGUAGCCUGCCCUUGACUUUGGGAUAACUUCAGGAAACUGGGGCUAAUACCGGAUAGGAGCUCCUGCUGCAUGGUGGGGGUUGGAAAGUUUCGGCGGUUGGGGAUGGACUCGCGGCUUAUCAGCUUGUUGGUGGGGUAGUGGCUUACCAAGGCUUUGACGGGUAGCCGGCCUGAGAGGGUGACCGGCCACAUUGGGACUGAGAUACGGCCCAGACUCCUACGGGAGGCAGCAGUGGGGAAUAUUGCACAAUGGGCGGAAGCCUGAUGCAGCAACGCCGCGUGCGGGAUGACGGCCUUCGGGUUGUAAACCGCUUUCGCCUGUGACGAAGCGUGAGUGACGGUAAUGUGUAAAGAAGCACCGGCUAACUACGUG